UACAGGGGGGGCAAGCGUUGUUCGGAAUUACUGGGCGUAAAGGGUUUGUAGGUGGCUUGCUAAGUCAGACGUGAAAUCCCUCAGCUUAACUGGGGAACUGCGUCUGAUACUGGCGAGCUUGAGUGCAGGAGAGGAACGCGGAAUUCCGGGUGUAGCGGUGGAAUGCGUAGAGAUCCGGAAGAACACCGGUGGCGAAGGCGGCCUGCUGGGCAGUGCUGACACUGAGGCGCGACAGCGUGGGGAGCAACAGG
rnacentral:rRNA from 1 species